rnacentral:rRNA from 1 species
UCCCAGACUCCUACGGGAGGCAGCAGUGGGGGAUAUUGCACAAUGGGGGGAACCCUGAUGCAGCGACGCCGCGUGGGUGAAGAAGUAUUUCGGUAUGUAAAGCCCUAUCGGCAGGGAAGAAAUUGGACGGUACCUGACUAAGAAGCCCUGGCUAACUACGUGCCAGCAGCCGCGGUAAUACGUAGGGGGCAAGCGUUAUCCGGAUUCACUGGGUGUAAAGGGAGCGUAGACGGCGACGCAAGUCUGGAGUGAAAGCCCGGGGCCCAACCCCGGGACUGCUCUGGAAACUGCGUCGCUGGAGUACGGGAGGGGCAGGCGGAAUUCCUGGUGUAGCGGUGAAAUGCGUAGAUAUCAGGAGGAACACCGGCGGCGAAGGCGGCCUGCUGGACCGUGACUGACGUUGAGGCUCGAAAGCGUGGGGAGCGAACAGGAUUAGAUACCCUGGUA